CAGGAAGUCACUUCCUGAGCAGGAACCAAGGUGAAAACGGAUUCCCCCUUGGGGAAUUCAGCCAUUCUCCUUAGGUUACUGUCUCGAGGCGUGUGGUGUCCUGUUUGGAAGAUGUACCUGGACUUAGAAAAGGGCUGCUCUGUGACCUUGUCUGCAUCUGUCUCUGGUCCUUACCUGGACCAAGGCCACCUGCUGAAGAAGACCCAGGGCCAGGGAUACAAUGGCAACCGUGGCACAGAUUCCGGGAUGGAUUUAGAUAAACAACUUGACGGCUGAGGAGUUUUACCUGUUAUGGGACCAAGA